GAUGAACGCUGGCGGCGUGCCUAAUACAUGCAAGUCGAGCGAACGGACGAUACGCUUGCUUCUCUGAUGUUAGCGGCGGACGGGUGAGUAACACGUGGAUAACCUACCUAUAAGACUGGGAUAACUUCGGGAAACCGGAGCUAAUACCGGAUGAUAUUUUGAACCGCAUGGUUCAAAAGUGAAAGACGGUCUUGCUGUCACUUAUAGAUGGAUCCGCGCUGCAUUAGCUAGUUGGUAAGGUAACGGCUUACCAAGGCAACGAUGCAUAGCCGACCUGAGAGGGUGAUCGGCCACACUGGAGCUGAGACACGGUCCAGACUCCUACGGGAGGCAGCAGUAGGGAAUCGUCCGCAAUGGGCGAAAGCCUGACGGAGCAACGCCGAGUGAGUGAUGAAGGUCUUCGGAUCGUAAAACUCUGUUAUUAGGGAAGAACAUAUGUGUAAGUAACUGUGCACAUCUUGACGGUACCUAAUCAGAAAGCCACGGCUAACUACGUG
rnacentral:rRNA from 1 species